CCCUGGUAGUCCAUGCCGUAAAACGUUGGAACUAGAUUGGGGACCAUUCCACGGUUUCCGUGUCGCAGCUAACGCAUUAAGUUCCCCCCNUGGGGAGUACGNCCGCAAGGCUAAAACUCAAAGGAAUUGACGGGGGCCCGCACAAGCGGCGGAGCAUGCGGAUUAAUUCGAUGCAACGCGAAGAACCUUACCAAGGCUUGACAUAUACCGGAAACAUGCAGAAAUGUGUGCCCCGCAAGGUCGGUAUACAGGUGGUGCAUGGUUGUCGUCAGCUCGUGUCGUGAGAUGUUGGGUUAAGUCCCGCAACGAGCGCAACCCUCGUUCUAUGUUGCCAGCACGUAAUGGUGGGAACUCAUAGGAGACUGCCGGGGUCAACUCGGAGGAAGGUGGGGAUGACGUCAAAUCAUCAUGCCCCUUAUGUCUUGGGCUUCACGCAUGCUACAAUGGCCGGUACAAAGGGCUGCGAUACCGUAAGGUGGAGCGAAUCCCAAAAAGCCGGUCUCAGUUCGGAUUGAGGUCUGCAACUCGACCUCAUGAAGUCGGAGUCGCUAGUAAUCGCAGAUCAGCAACGCUGCGGUGAAUACGUUCCCGGGCCUUGUACACACCGCCCGUCAAGUCAUGAAAGUCGGUAACACCCGAAGCCAGUGGCCUAACCGCAAG
rnacentral:rRNA from 1 species